UACGAAGGGGGCUAGCGUUGCUCGGAAUGACUGGGCGUAAAGGGCGCGUAGGCGGUUUGUACAGUCAGAUGUGAAAUUCCCGGGCUUAACCUGGGGGCUGCAUUUGAUACGUGCAGACUUGAGUGAGGAAGAGGGUUGUGGAAUUCCCAGUGUAGAGGUGAAAUUCGUAGAUAUUGGGAAGAACACCGGUGGCGAAGGCGGCAACCUGGUCCUUGACUGACGCUGAGGCGCGAAAGCGUGGGGAGCAAAC
rnacentral:rRNA from 1 species